rnacentral:rRNA from 1 species
AGCAGUCGCCGCGGUAAUACGUAGGUCCCGAGCGUUGUCCGGAUUUAUUGGGCGUAAGGCGAGCGCAGGCGGUAAGAUAAGUCUGAAGUUAAAGGCUGUGGCUUAACCAUAGUACGCUUUGGAAACUGUUUAACUUGAGUGCAAGAGGGGAGAGUGGAAUUCCAUGUGUAGCGGUGAAAUGCGUAGAUAUAUGGAGGAACACCGGUGGCGAAAGCGGCUCUCUGGCUUGUAACUGACGCUGAGGCUCGAAAGCGUGGGGAGCAAACAGGAUUAGAUACCCGCGUAGUCCCUGUCUCUUAUACA